UACGUAGGGGGCGAGCGUUGUCCGAAGUUACUGGGCGUAAAGCGCGCGUAGGCGGCCACUUAAGUCUGGGGUGAAAGGUUCAGCGCUCAACGUGAACAGUGCCUUGGAUACUGGGUGGCUUGAGUCUGGGAGAGGGUAGUGGAAUUCCUGGUGUAGCGGUGAAAUGCGCAGAUAUCAGGAGGAACACCGGUGGCGAAGGCGGUGUCCUGGGCCGAUCCUGACGCUGAGGAGCGAAAGCUGGGGGGAGCAAACAGG
rnacentral:rRNA from 1 species